rnacentral:rRNA from 1 species
GACGAACGCUGGCGGCGUGCUUAACACAUGCAAGUCGAACGGAAAGGCCCUGCUUUUGUGGGGUGCUCGAGUGGCGAACGGGUAAGUAACACGUGAGUAACCUGCCCUUGACUUUGGGAUAACUUCAGGAAACUGGGGCUAAUACCGGAUAGGAGCUCCUGCUGCAUGGUGGGGGUUGGAAAGUUUCGGCGGUUGGGGAUGGACUCGCGGCUUAUCAGCUUGUUGGUGGGGUAGUGGCUUACCAAGGCUUUGACGGGUAGCCGGCCUGAGAGGGUGACCGGCCACAUUGGGACUGAGAUACGGCCCAGACUCCUACGGGAGGCAGCGGUGGGGAAUAUUGCACAAUGGGCGGAAGCCUGAUGCAGCAACGCCGCGUGCGGGAUGACGGCCUUCGGGUUGUAAACCGCUUUCGCCUGUGACGAAGCGUGAGUGACGGUAAUGGGUAAAAAAGCACCGGCUAACUACGUG